GUUGAGUUGAGUUAAGUUGUAAAUGAGGGAUUUUUUUUUUCUAUGAAAAGAAAAGAUGCUAGUAUGCUACAAAUGAACUAAUUUUAUUAUUGGGCUAAUGAUCGUCCCCGAACUUUGUGGGCUUCUUUAAUUGUAUCAUGUGCUUUUAGUUUUAUUAGUUUAGUUCAUAAAUUACUGAUUUUAUUUCAUUUGUAUCCAAUGGGUCUGGUGCAUGUGUGCAUCCUUAUGUUUUGUUGAGA
rnacentral:misc_RNA from 1 species